rnacentral:rRNA from 1 species
UACGUAGGGGGCAAGCGUUGUCCGGAAUUAUUGGGCGUAAAGAGCGCGUAGGCGGUCCGAUAAGUCGGCUGUGAAAGUCAGGGGCUCAACCCUUGAAAGCCGGCCGAUACUGUCGGACUAGAGUCCGGAAGAGGCAAGUGGAAUUCCCGGUGUAGCGGUGAAAUGCGCAGAUAUCGGGAGGAACACCGGUGGCGAAGGCGGGUCUCUGGGCAGUAACUGACGCUGAGAAGCGAAAGCGUGGGGAGCGAACAGG